rnacentral:lncRNA from 1 species
UUUGUUUAUCAGUUAACAUUUUAUUGAAGUAGAUUGAUUACAAUACACAGUUCACCUGGGAUGCUCCAACACCCAGAGAACUUCAUAUAGUGUUUACUGUUCCAGUUAUACCCCACAUACAGUAUCCAUCCUGCUCUAGAAUUUUACAUCUUCUAUAGUACUCAUUCCAUUCUAGAACAAAGACUUUAGCAAAGCUAUGCCACACUCACACAUUACUCUUCCUGCUCAAGAACAAUUAAAAGGAACCAGAGUGGAUAACCUUAAGUUCCGUAUUUGCACCACAUUCAGACAUACACAUGGGUUUUGUAAACUUAGAACCACGGAAAAAUGAGAAGUCAAUAGCAACAUCUUACUCCAAGAAAAAAGAAAAUCCUAAAUCUUAAAUUUUUCUAUCAAAUUGAGUAAAAUGUGAAUUUCCCUAGUCAAAUCUCCACAAUUCAAUGAUUAGUACAUAACCACCAACAGUACUCAUCCAGGUCAAGAAAGCUACUAAUCACAUAAAUAGUACUUAUCCUGCUCUAGAACAUACACAAUGUAGAAGCAGUACAAAACACACUCACCUGCUUUAGAACAAACUGAGCCAACAAACAUCCUCUCACGCCACAAUGCAGAGUACUGCCAAGGACACAGAUUGUCUCACAUACAGUUUGCAUAUGUGCUACAACAGUCACGCUGCCCUGGGAGUCUAAAACAGAUCUCUGAAGUCCUAGAAGUGCACUCAAAGUCUCACCUAAGACUCAUACCGGAUACUGCAGGAAGAGACACACAACUCACGUAGAGACCUGCACUUUAAAUAUAAGAGAACAAACUCAAAAUACAUGCUUAGAAGUGAGAAAACACACAACUGCGAUACAUCACACAUAAAAUGGAUAUCACACGUCUGCUUCCACCAGAGUACCAAAAUGCUCACCUAGUUUACUGCAUGCUCAUACAAAACAUACAGCAAAAUGACACCUUUCAAUGCAGGAUGAGAUCCCAGAAGCCAGGAUUACUAAAUAUUAUAAGUAAGAUAUUACAGUGUCAGUAUAAUGCCCCAAUUUCAUAGACUAUUUGUGUUUAGUGUUAAAAUCUGAAUGCAGGGAUCACUGGAAGCUUUAUUAAUCCUCCUCCCAGACCCAUCAUAGCAAUUUGUUUAUUCACAGAGAAUGAGAACAAGUUAUUUCAGUUAACAACCGACCAUUACACUCUUGGAAUCAGAUCUUCAUUCACAAACCUGGAUCAUAUUUAUAUAUAUUAAGCCAGGAGUGUCAGUACCCCACUUUAUAACCAGGAACCGCUCUUAUAGAAUGCAAAUCCUGAUUUUAUGUGAUGACAUUUCAAAGAUCCCUUGGAAUGACGUGCAUCAGAUACAACCCAUAGACAGCUGCACGAGAGGUGUCACAUCCACAUAUUAACAUAGAGCAAGGGCACAUGUGAUAGAUGGCAUGAGAUAUGUGUAAAUUUCUAACAAGGACAUUUUCUGCAGGAAGAGGGUAGCAGGUUAAGAGUGAGAUGUUGGUUUGUAUUCAAAGUGGCUCUUGUUACCUUCUGGGAUCUAUGCAGAGACCCUUGAUGGUGACAUCACAACUUGGCGUUUGGUGGCCCAGAGGUGCAGGUAGAGGUAGGUUUCACUUACCUGAAGCAGUCACUCAUGGCUAGCACAUGUCCAUCCACAGGACCAUUUUCAGCUUGUGGAGCUUGAUCUGCCAAGAGUCCAAUUCAGUGAGGAUCCGCGCAAAGAUAAAGCCAUUUUAAGAACUAUUUGUUUUUGUUGCAAUAGGUUUGGUUUCUAAGCAGAAAUGUUGGUGUCACGUGAAAACAUGCUACAUGCAGGUAAUUUAAUAUAGAGAAUGGCAGAGUGCACAGCCAGGGUAAGGCAAGCUACAGGUUGAUCAUGUAUAAUGUCUAAGAGGAGUUUCUGAUUCCAGGUGUACAGCACUAAGAAAUUUGCUGGCGCUAUAUAAAUAUAAUAAUAAUGUGUCUGGGAGGAGUUUAUGAUUCCAGGUUAUAUAAUGUCUGAGAGGAGUUUCUGGUUCCAGGUUAUAUAAUGUCUGGGAGGAGUUGUUGGUUCCAGGUUAUAUAAUGUCUGAGAGGAGUUUCUGGUUCCAGGUUAUAUAAUGUCUGGGUUGGGUUCCUGGUUCCAGGUGAUAUAGUGUCUGGGAGGAGUUUAUGAUUCCAGGUUAUAUAAUGUCUGGGUUGGGUUCCUGGUUCCAGGUGAUAUAGUGUCUGGGAGGAGUUUAUGAUUCCAGGUUAUAUAAUACAAUAAAUAGUUGCAGCGCACUCAGACUACAAAACAAUAUAUAAUACAAAGAAGGCUACUAAAAUGCCUAUCUGAGAAUAAAUAUGGGGAUUUAGUUCCACCAUAUGGCCAUAUGUUGUUAAGCCCACCACUACUUUCAAAGUACCCCAAUAUUGGUGGGUCCUACGCUAAAAAUGUGGGGGAACAAAUUAAAUAGUACUAGUGUUGAAAAUUACAAGUGUUAAAUUAAAUCCUGAUAAGAGCAUAGUGAGUAUACAAAAAUGAGUGAUGAAAGCAAUUAAAAACAGUGUUAAAACUAAACAAAUAAUGUGUUAGUGCUAAAAAGAGUAUACUCACUAAUGCAGAUGAUAUCUGUGCUGACUAGAGAAAAUAAUAAAAGUGACUUGACUAUUGAAAAACUCCUCCUAUAUAUACACACCUGUGGCCACCUCUAAAGGAGCCUCUGAAGUUGGGGGGCCUGGGCGGGGUGCUUAACCCCUAAGGAAUCUGGUCUGGAUUCAUUUUUGUAUACUCACUAUGCUCUUAUCAGGAUUUAAUUUAACACUUGUAAUUUUCAACACUAGUACUA